rnacentral:rRNA from 1 species
AAUGAACGCUGGCGGCAGGCUUAACACAUGCAAGUCGAACGGGGUUAUAUUGUAGCUUGCUAUGGUAUAACUUAGUGGCAGACGGGUGAGUAAUGUAUAGGAAUCUACUUAGUAGUGCGGAAUAAUUGUUGGAAACGGCAGCUAAUACCGUAUACGCCCUACGGGGGAAAGGUUUAUUGCUAUUAGAUGAGCCUAUAUUAGAUUAGCUAGUUGGUAAGGUAAUGGCUUACCAAGGCAAUGAUCUAUAGCUGAUCUGAGAGGAUGAUCAGCCACACUGGAACUGAGAUACGGUCCAGACUCCUACGGGAGGCAGCAGUGGGGAAUAUUGGACAAUGGGCGAAAGCCUGAUCCAGCCAUGCCGCAUGAGUGAAGAAGGCCUUUGGGUUGUAAAGCUCUUUUGGUGAGGAAGAUAAUGACGGUACUCACAGAAGAAGUCCUGGCUAACUCCGUGCCAGCAGCCGCGGUAAUACGGAGAGGGCUAGCGUUAUUCGGGGUUAUUGGGCGUAAAGAGCGCGUAGGCUGGUUAGCAAGUUAAAAGUGAAAUCCCAAAGCUCAACUUUGGAAUUGCUUUUAAAACUGCUAACCUAGAGAUUGAAAGAGGAUAGAGGAAUUCCUAGUGUAGAGGUGAAAUUCGUAAAUAUUAGGAGGAACAUCAGUGGCGAAGGCGUCUAUCUGGUUCAAAUCUGACGCUGAGGCGCGAAAGCGUGG